UAAUAAGUGUUUUAUGGCACUUUUUAAAUCCAUAUCCACCUUGUGUGCAAUGUCGGUCGAUCUUCUUUUUUUGAGGAUCGACCAAACAUCAACCUUUAUCUUUUAACUCUUUGUCUGAAAAAUAUUAUGAAUAAAUAAUUCAAAAUA
rnacentral:misc_RNA from 1 species